AUAAGAUCCGCAGGUAAAAUGUAAACAAUAAUGUAAGCAUUUUCUUUUUUGAAGUUUUCUCUGGUAAAACUUUAAUUCCAAACACCUCGGUAUAAUUUUCUUCUAUUUAUUGCAAAAGAUAUUCUUCUCGGCUUGGCGUCUCUCUAUAAAAACGUAUCCAAAUCAAUCCACAGAUCAUCCAGGAAGUGCCCAUGAUCGACCUUGCCUCUCUUCUUCGAUAAUAUCAAAACAUUGGCGUCUCUCUGUAUAGACGUAUCCAAAUCAAUCCCAUUGUUCCGGAGCGCCUCUCCUUUCGGACCAGAUCAUCUCAGGAAGUGCGCAUGAUCGACCUUACCUCUCUUCUUCGAUAAUAUCAAAACAUAUUAUUGUAUGUUUUUUCCUUUUGAUUCGAAUAUUGAAAGUCUUGAUCUAUCGCAGGUUAUUUAGUCAAGGUAUUUGCAAGAUGUUUCUGUAUCUUUUUAAAACGUUUUACGUAUACCAGAUUACCAAAUCACAUAAUUAGGUAUAUUUUCUUUUUUCUUUAUUCUUUUUAUGUUAUGUGCACCAUUUUUGCUUCUU